rnacentral:rRNA from 1 species
UGCCAGCAGCCGCGGUAAUACGGAGGGAGCGAGCGUUAAUCGGAAUUACUGGGCGUAAAGCGUGUGUAGGCGGCCGCGUAAGUCGGGUGUGAAAGCCCAGGGCUCAACCCUGGAAUUGCGCCCGAAACUACGCAGCUUGAGUAUGGGAGAGGGGUGCGGAGUUCCUGGUGUAGAGGUGAAAUUCGUAGAGAUCAGGAGGAACACCCGCGGCGAAGGCGGCACCCUGGACCACUACUGACGCUGAGACACGAAAGCGUGGGGAGCAAACAGGAUUAGAUA